rnacentral:lncRNA from 1 species
ACGUGCCCUUCCCUGAGCCCAUCGUCAUUGCUAGGGGGCUGUGGCUCUUUGAUUGACAGGCCUGGGUCAUGCACUUACCAUAGGGAUGGUCAGUUAGGGUCCAUUAAGGGAAACAGAAGCCAGCCAAGAGCUGCCUUCCAUUCUGGCCUUUGGGCGGCUUCAGCAAGAGGUGGGAGCAGCUUUCUGAUCUUUCUGACCUCUGGCUCGCCUCCCUGUCCCUCUGGCUUCUCUGCUUUUCCACCACUGGCAUAAUGUCCAUAGUACUGAAGAACAAAUGGCAGAGGUGGCCUUCCCAGGACACAGACGGCAAGGCCAUCCUGCUGAGGUAGAGUCAUGGCAGGGCUGUGCCGUCUAGAGGGGAACAGGGCAGGGUGGCCGCGAAGUGGGGACGAGAGCCAGAGCUGGAGCCACCUCCCAGGACCUGUGAGAACGCCGGGACUCAGACCUCCCCGCCUCCUCGUGUCAUGCCUGCGUCCCAGUGGCUGAGGCCCGGAGAGGCACUUCCUUGCGGUGCAGGUGACAGCAGGAGGGAAGGAAGCAGAUCUCAGAGUGGCCAGGGUGGACCGCCGCCCGACAGAGCAGCGUGUGGCCGGCCGUGUCCCCAGAGCAACCUGGGAGCCCAGCCCAGGCAUCCAAGCCUCCUCCUCUUGUCCCACUGCCUGCAAUAAUGGAAAGAAUGACAGCAAGAGGUUUUCAGGUUCGGUGAUCUGUCUCGCUGAUGGAAUCGCACAGCGCCCCGUGAAUAACACUUGGCUGCGAGCCUGGCGACACCUGCCACGGGAAGGACCGCCGAGCUCCGUCGUGUCCUCCUGCCGCCACCGCCAUGGCCUGGACCCCCCGCAGCCCUGCAGAGAGCAGAGCAGGGAUGGCACGAAGGUGAGACUCGGUGGCCACCCCCGGUGGCCUGGUGGUUUCCAUCUCUAGUGAGGAGGCUGGUGGAAGCUCAUGCCCCCGUGGCCACAUCAGGAGAGGGCUCAGGAGGUCUGAGCAGUCCCCUGGUCCCUCUGUCCCAACCGUUUGUCACUGCAAGGGCCAUAGGGACGGAGACCUCCCAGUACUUCCAGGAAAUCCUGUUCUCGUAAGACCCCAAAGACGUAGUUGAUUUUCUGAACGCACACCCUACGAACACCACUCGGGCUCCGGUCCCCAUCAGACAGACGCUGUUUCCCGGAGCCACCUCACUCUAAGGAAGGCUGCGGGACCUGGAGGACGAGCUGGGAUCCCCGGCCUUAAGGGAGUGUCCGUAAGUGGCCGCCUGGAAGGUUUUUGACAUAGAAUCUGGAGAGAGUCUCAAAAGGGCUGGAGAGAAAUGUGGCUGCCGCUCACCAGAGCGCGGGCCCCUUUGUCUCGCCAGAUGCACAGUGAAGAAUUAACGCAGCAGGAAGAGUGGAGACACUGGCAUUUUAGGAAAAUGACUGAGAAAUA